UUGCUGUUUGAGUAUCCUGAAAACGGGCUUUUCAGUAUAGUAAGUUUACUAACAUUAACAAUAAAGGAGUGCAUAGUGGCCCGUAUAGCAGGCAUUAACAUUCCUGAU
rnacentral:sRNA from 1 species